UUCUACAUCUAAAGUCUGUGUGUGUUCUUUUAGCAGAAACUGAAGUCUCCUAUCACUCCAGUGUUGCUCAGCACUCCUGCCAAACUUAGCGGACCAAGACCAAAUGACAGGGAAGCUGCGAGGCCUGAACCUGUAGGAUUCAGAUACUGGAGGACACCUGAAAAAACACCAUCUGUCCUCCAUCAGGCUUCAGGAUCUGUGAGCUCCGAGGGAGGACGAAAUGGAUCGCAAG
rnacentral:lncRNA from 1 species